rnacentral:rRNA from 1 species
UCAACCGAGAUUCCCCCAGUAGCGGCGAGCGAACGGGGAGGAGCCCAGAGCCUGAAUCAGUGUGUGUGUUAGUGGAAGCGUCUGGAAAGGCGCGCGAUACAGGGUGACAGCCCCGUACACAAAAAUGCACAUGCUGUGAGCUCGAUGAGUAGGGCGGGACACGUGGUAUCCUGUCUGAAUAUGGGGGGACCAUCCUCCAAGGCUAAAUACUCCUGACUGACCGAUAGUGAACCAGUACCGUGAGGGAAAGGCGAAAAGAACCCCGGCGAGGGGAGUGAAAAAGAACCUGAAACCGUGUACGUACAAGCAGUGGGAGCACGCUUAGGCGUGUGACUGCGUACCUUUUGUAUAAUGGGUCAGCGACUUAUAUUCUGUAGCAAGGUUAACCGAAUAGGGGAGCCGAAGGGAAACCGAGUCUUAACUGGGCGUUAAGUUGCAGGGUAUAGACCCGAAACCCGGUGAUCUAGCCAUGGGCAGGUUGAAGGUUGGGUAACACUAACUGGAGGACCGAACCGACUAAUGUUGAAAAAUUAGCGGAUGACUUGUGGCUGGGGGUGAAAGGCCAAUCAAACCGGGAGAUAGCUGGUUCUCCCCGAAAGCUAUUUAGGUAGCGCCUCGUGAAUUCAUCUCCGGGGGUAGAGCACUGUUUCGGCAAGGGGGUCAUCCCGACUUACCAACCCGAUGCAAACUGCGAAUACCGGAGAAUGUUAUCACGGGAGACACACGGCGGGUGCUAACGUCCGUCGUGAAGAGGGAAACAACCCAGACCGCCAGCUAAGGUCCCAAAGUCAUGGUUAAGUGGGAAACGAUGUGGGAAGGCCCAGACAGCCAGGAUGUUGGCUUAGAAGCAGCCAUCAUUUAAAGAAAGCGUAAUAGCUCACUGGUCGAGUCGGCCUGCGCGGAAGAUGUAACGGGGCUAAACCAUGCACCGAAGCUGCGGCAGCGACGCUUAUGCGUUGUUGGGUAGGGGAGCGUUCUGUAAGCCUGUGAAGGUGUGCUGUGAGGCAUGCUGGAGGUAUCAGAAGUGCGAAUGCUGACAUAAGUAACGAUAAAGCGGGUGAAAAGCCCGCUCGCCGGAAGACCAAGGGUUCCUGUCCAACGUUAAUCGGGGCAGGGUGAGUCGACCCCUAAGGCGAGGCCGAAAGGCGUAGUCGAUGGGAAACAGGUUAAUAUUCCUGUACUUGGUGUUACUGCGAAGGGGGGACGGAGAAGGCUAUGUUGGCCGGGCGACGGUUGUCCCGGUUUAAGCGUGUAGGCUGGUUUUCCAGGCAAAUCCGGAAAAUCAAGGCUGAGGCGUGAUGACGAGGCACUACGGUGCUGAAGCAACAAAUGCCCUGCUUCCAGGAAAAGCCUCUAAGCAUCAGGUAACAUCAAAUCGUACCCCAAACCGACACAGGUGGUCAGGUAGAGAAUACCAAGGCGCUUGAGAGAACUCGGGUGAAGGAACUAGGCAAAAUGGUGCCGUAACUUCGGGAGAAGGCACGCUGAUAUGUAGGUGAAGCGACUUGCUCGUGGAGCUGAAAUCAGUCGAAGAUACCAGCUGGCUGCAACUGUUUAUUAAAAACACAGCACUGUGCAAACACGAAAGUGGACGUAUACGGUGUGACGCCUGCCCGGUGCCGGAAGGUUAAUUGAUGGGGUCAGCGCAAGCGAAGCUCUUGAUCGAAGCCCCGGUAAACGGCGGCCGUAACUAUAACGGUCCUAAGGUAGCGAAAUUCCUUGUCGGGUAAGUUCCGACCUGCACGAAUGGCGUAAUGAUGGCCAGGCUGUCUCCACCCGAGACUCAGUGAAAUUGAACUCGCUGUGAAGAUGCAGUGUACCCGCGGCAAGACGGAAAGACCCCGUGAACCUUUACUAUAGCUUGACACUGAACAUUGAGCCUUGAUGUGUAGGAUAGGUGGGAGGCUUUGAAGUGUGGACGCCAGUCUGCAUGGAGCCGACCUUGAAAUACCACCCUUUAAUGUUUGAUGUUCUAACGUUGACCCGUAAUCCGGGUUGCGGACAGUGUCUGGUGGGUAGUUUGACUGGGGCGGUCUCCUCCUAAAGAGUAACGGAGGAGCACGAAGGUUGGCUAAUCCUGGUCGGACAUCAGGAGGUUAGUGCAAUGGCAUAAGCCAGCUUGACUGCGAGCGUGACGGCGCGAGCAGGUGCGAAAGCAGGUCAUAGUGAUCCGGUGGUUCUGAAUGGAAGGGCCAUCGCUCAACGGAUAAAAGGUACUCCGGGGAUAACAGGCUGAUACCGCCCAAGAGUUCAUAUCGACGGCGGUGUUUGGCACCUCGAUGUCGGCUCAUCACAUCCUGGGGCUGAAGUAGGUCCCAAGGGUAUGGCUGUUCGCCAUUUAAAGUGGUACGCGAGCUGGGUUUAGAACGUCGUGAGACAGUUCGGUCCCUAUCUGCCGUGGGCGCUGGAGAACUGAGGGGGGCUGCUCCUAGUACGAGAGGACCGGAGUGGACGCAUCACUGGUGUUCGGGUUGUCAUGCCAAUGGCACUGCCCGGUAGCUAAAUGCGGAAGAGAUAAGUGCUGAAAGCAUCUAAGCACGAAACUUGCC